AGCAGUAGCCGCGGGAAUACGAAGGGGGCUAGCGUUGCUCGGAAUCACUGGGCGUAAAGGGUGCGUAGGCGGGUCUUUAAGUCAGGGGUGAAAUCCUGGAGCUCAACUCCAGAACUGCCUUUGAUACUGAAGAUCUUGAGUUCGGGAGAGGUGAGUGGAACUGCGAGUGUAGAGGUGAAAUUCGUAGAUAUUCGCAAGAACACCAGUGGCGAAGGCGGCUCACUGGCCCGAUACUGACGCUGAGGCACGAAAGCGUGGGGAGCAAACAGGAUUAGAUACCCGUGUAGUCCCUGUCUCUUAUAC
rnacentral:rRNA from 1 species